UCAGUUCGGACUGGGGUCUGCAACCCGACCCCACGAAGCUGGAUUCGCUAGUAAUCGCGCAUCAGCCAUGGCGCGGUGAAUACGUUCCCGGGCCUUGUACACACCGCCCGUCAAGCCAUGAAAGCCGGGGGCGCCUGAAGUCCGUGACCGCGAGGGUCGGCCUAGGGUGAAACCGGUGAUUGGGGCUAAGUCGUAACAAGGUAAC
rnacentral:rRNA from 1 species